GCAACUUCGUCGGGCAUGAGACGGUCCAGUUUUUGGGCUACAAUCUCAAACAACGGGCGCCCGGAGCUCUGGUGGCUGAAGUAGACCGUCCGCGCAGACGGAAACGGAUGCUUGUCAGGAGGGCACCCACCUGCUGUUAAGCAGGUCUAAAAACUCCCGUCCACGGCCCGACGGAGCCCUA
rnacentral:other from 1 species